UACGUAGGUGGCAAGCGUUGUCCGGAUUUAUUGGGUUUAAAGGGUGCGUAGGUGGUCAAUUAAGUCAGUGCUGAAAUCUCCCGGCUUAACCGGGAGGGUGGCAUUGAUACUGCGGGGCUAGAGUACAGAUGAGGUAGGCGGAAUUGACGGUGUAGCGGUGAAAUGCUUAGAUAUCGUCAAGAACACCUAUAGCGAAGGCAGCUUACUAGGCUGUAACUGACGCUGAGGCACGAAAGUGUGGGGAUCAAACAGG
rnacentral:rRNA from 1 species